AACAACUCAGUAAAGCCAAGAAAAGCAGAGCUCCUGUCUCGUACCUUUUGCAUCAUGAUUUAACAAGUAUAACCAAGCAAAAAGCAUUUUAGUUUGGCCCCCGAAACCCAAGUGAGCUACUCCAAGACAACCUUUAAUUAGGGUAAACCCGUCUCUGUGGCAAAAGAGUGGGAAGAGCUUCGAGUAGAGGUGACAGACCAAUCGAACUUGGUAAUAGCUGGUUGCUUGAGAAAUGAAUAGAAGUUCUGCCUCUUACAUUCUCACCUCAAACCCGGGCAAUAACAGCCCGACCCACAGGUAAAUGAAGGCAAGAGAGUUAAUCAAAGGGGGUACAGCCCCUUUGAGACAAAACACAACUUUUCCAGAAGGGUAAAGAUCAUAAUUUUUAAGGUAACUAUGUUUUGGUGGGCCUAAAAGCAGCCACCCCAUUAGAAAGCGUUAAAGCUCUAACAUAUUCCCUCCCUCGAUCCCGAUAAUAAAUCUUAACCCACUAAAUAUAUCAAGCCGUCCCAUAAGCACAUGGGAGUGAUUAUGCUAAAAUGAGUAACCAGAGAACACCACCUCUCUCCCUGCACACGUGUAAAUCGGAGCGGACCCCCCACCGAAAUUUAACGAUCCCAAAUAAUAGAGGGCAUUGAAUGAUAAACAACAAACAAGAAAAUCAUCCAAAAUAAUACCGUUAACCCCACACUGGUGUACUUCAAGGGAAAGACCAAAAGGAAAAGAAGGAACUCGGCAAAUACCCCAAAGCCUCGCCUGUUUACCAAAAACAUCGCCUCUUGCUAACUACACAUAAGAGGUCCUGCCUGCCCUGUGACCCCUGGUUCAACGGCCGCGGUAUUUUGACCGUGCAAAGGUAGCGCAAUCACUUGUCUCUUAAAUGAGGACCUGUAUGAAUGGCACAACGAGGGCUUAACUGUCUCCUUUUCCCGGUCAGUGAAAUUGAUCUUCCCGUGCAGAAGCGGGAAUCCUAACAUAAGACGAGAAGACCCUAUGGAGCUUUAGACUUUCGAACAGAUCAUGUAAGCUACCCCCAUGAAAUGGGUAAUAACUAUUGAAUUCCUGUUCUCCUGUCUUUGGUUGGGGCGACCACGGGGAAGAAAAAAACCCCCAUGUGGACCAGGAGCACAUUACUCCUACAACCAUGAGCCACAGCUCUAAUGCACAAAACCUUUGACCAUUAGAUCCGGCAAAGCCGAUCAACGGACCAAGUUACCCUAGGGAUAACAGCGCAAUCCCCUUUAAGAGUCCAUAUCGACAAGGGGGUUUACGACCUCGAUGUUGGAUCAAGACAUCCUAAUGGUGCAGCCGCUAUUAAGGGUUCGUUUGUUCAACGAUUAAAGUCUU
rnacentral:rRNA from 1 species